GGAGCACCCUUCGGGGUGUGACUGCGUACCUUUUGUAUAAUGGGUCAGCGACUUAUAUUCUGUAGCAAGGUUAACCGUAUAGGGGAGCCGGAGGGAAACCGAGUCUUAAUUGGGCGUUAAGUUGCAGGGUAUAGACCCGAAACCCGGUGAUCUAGCCAUGGGCAGGUUGAAGGUUGGGUAACACUAACUGGAGGACCGAACCGACUAAUGUUGAAAAAUUAGCGGAUGACCUGUGGCUGGGGGUGAAAGGCCAAUCAAACCGGGAGAUAGCUGGUUCUCCCCGAAAGCUAUUUAGGUAGCGCCUCGUGAAUUCAUCUCCGGGGGUAGAGCACUGUUUCGGCUAGGGGCCAUCCCGGCUUACCAACCCGAUGCAAACUGCGAAUACCGGAGAAUGUUAUCACGGGAGACACACGGCGGGUGCUAACGUCCGUCGUGAAGAGGGAAACAACCCAGACCGCCAGCUAAGGUCCCAAAGUCAUGGUUAAGUGGGAAACGAUGUGGGAAGGCCCAGACAGCCAGGAUGUUGGCUUAGAAGCAGCCAUCAUUUAAAGAAAGCGUAAUAGCUCACUGGUCGAGUCGGCCUGCGCGGAAGAUGUAACGGGGCUAAACCAUGCACCGAAGCUGCGGCAGCGAACGUAUCACCCAAGACAACUUUACGGAGUUGACGAUUGACGGAGCGAAGCGACGUCAAAGCGUUCAUUAAAGUCGAGUUGGCUUAGGGAUACGUUCGUUGGGUAGGGGAGCGUUCUGUAAGCCUGUGAAGGUGUGUCGUGAGGCAUGCUGGAGGUAUCAGAAGUGCGAAUGCUGACAUAAGUAACGAUAAAGCGGGUGAAAAGCCCGCUCGCCGGAAGACCAAGGGUUCCUGUCCAACGUUAAUCGGGGCAGGGUGAGUCGACCCCUAAGGCGAGGCCGAAAGGCGUAGUCGAUGGGAAACGGGUUAAUAUUCCCGUACUUGGUGUUACUGCGAAGGGGGGACGGAGAAGGCUAU
rnacentral:rRNA from 1 species